AUCUCAGAACCUCCGGGGUGCUGCUGGGGCGCCCCUGCUCCCCAGCCUUCGGGCGUGCAAAGCUCAAUGUCCUCCCUCUUCCCUACCUCCUCCUCCAGCAGAUAAGGCCAGCAGGAGGCUCAGCUCAGCCCCUGGGCUCCUGUCCCUGCCACGGAGCGGCAGAGCAGUGGCAUCGUUUUGGUGCCACAUUGAAGGUGCCCCAGCCCUGCCUGCCAGCCCAGCGUGGGUCACCGUGUGUGCUCUCCACCUCCGCUCUCUCCAUUUGGAACUUGGGAACGGGAAAGAGGUGUUAUGUAUUUGAAACAACUGUUCAUAAGAUCAAGAAGCCAUCAGCUCUCCAGGCUGGAGGAGCAGCCCGGGUCACAAGACACAUCAUAUGCCCAGCAGUCAGCAGACGGGUGGGCCUGCCGUUAACAUUAUCAGCACACAAUGGUGGACCCAUAGCUAGUCAAGCACAGGCCUCCUCCUGUGACAGAUGACAAAUGGUACUGCCAGGGUGAAGGGCAGUGAUGGGGUCUAAGCUAGUGCGAAGCUAAUCAAGCUGAGGAACAAGAAGCCUCCAGUACUGGGUUCAAGCGGUCAAGCAUGUCACAAAAUUUGCAAAGGAAGAUAUUUGAAUAAUGACUAUACGGUCAUCUCCUCUUUCAAUUUUGAC
rnacentral:lncRNA from 1 species